GAUGAACGCUGGCGGCGUGCUUAACACAUGCAAGUCGAACGGUGAAGCAGAGCUUGCUCUGUGGAUCAGUGGCGAACGGGUGAGUAACACGUGAGCAACCUGCCCCUGACUCUGGGAUAAGCGCUGGAAACGGCGUCUAAUACUGGAUAUGAGCUGCGACCUCAUGGUCAGCAGUUGGAAAGAUUUUUCGGUCUGGGAUGGGCUCACGGCCUAUCAGCUUGUUGGUGAGGUAAUGGCUCACCAAGGCGUGGACGGGUAGCCGGCCUGAGAGGGUGACCGGCCACACUGGGACUGAGAGACGGCCCAGACUCCUACGGGAGGCAGCAGUGGGGAAUAUUGCACAAUGGGCGAAAGCCUGAUGCAGCAACGCCGCGUGAGGGAUGACGGCCUUCGGGUUGUAAACCUCUUUUAGCAGGGAAGAAGCGAAAGUGACGGUACCUGAAGAAAAAGCGCCGGCUAACUACGUG
rnacentral:rRNA from 1 species